rnacentral:rRNA from 1 species
UACGUAGGGGGCUAGCGUUGUCCGGAAUCAUUGGGCGUAAAGAGCGUGUAGGCGGUCCGGUAAGUCCGCUGUGAAAGUCGGGGGCUCAACCCUCGAAUGCCGGUGGAUACUGUCGGGCUAGAGUGCGGAAGAGGCGAGUGGAAUUCCUGGUGUAGCGGUGAAAUGCGCAGAUAUCAGGAGGAACACCUGAGGUGAAGACGGGUUGCUGGGCUGACACUGACGCUGAUGCGCGAAAGCCAGGGGAGCAAACGGG